ACUCCUGCGGGAGGCAGCAGUGGGGAAUUUUGGACAAUGGGCGAAAGCCUGAUCCAGCAAUGCCGCGUGAGUGAAGAAGGCCUUCGGGUUGUAAAGCUCUUUUGUAAGGGAAGAAACGGUGAAAGCUAAUAUCUUUUGCUAAUGACGGUACCUGAAGAAUAAGCACCGGCUAACUACGUGCAAGCAGCCGCGGUAAUACGUAGGGUGCAAGCGUUAAUCGGAAUUACUGGGCGUAAAGCGUGCGCAGGCGGUUUUGUAAGUCUGAUGUGAAAUCCCCGGGCUCAACCUGGGAAUUGCAUUGGAGACUGCAAGGCUAGAAUCUGGCAGAGGGGGGUAGAAUUCCACGUGUAGCAGUGAAAUGCGUAGAUAUGUGGAGGAACACCGAUGGCGAAGGCAGCCCCCUGGGUCAAGAUUGACGCUCAUGCACGAAAGCGUGGGGAGCAAACAGGAUUAGAAACCCCGGUAGUCCCA
rnacentral:rRNA from 1 species